rnacentral:rRNA from 1 species
GACGAACGCUGGCGGCGUGCUUAACACAUGCAAGUCGAACGAAGAGCGAUGGAAGCUUGCUUCUAUCAAUCUUAGUGGCGAACGGGUGAGUAACGCGUAAUCAACCUGCCUUUCAGAGGGGGACAACAGUUGGAAAGGACUGCUAAUACCGCAUACGAUCUAACCUCGGCAUUGAGGAUAGAUGAAAGGUGGUCUCUACAUGUAUGCUAUCACUGAAGGCGGGGUAUGCGUCUGAUUAGCUAGCUGGAGGGGUAACGGCCCACAAAGGCGAAGAGCAGUAGCCGGGCUGAGAGGGUGAGAUGCGACACUGGGACUGAGACACGGCCCACAGUCCUACAGGAGGGGGAGGAGGGGAAACUUCCGCGAUGGAGGAAAGUGCGACGGAGCGACGCCGCGUGAGUGAUAACGAGCUUCGGGUUGUAAAGAUCUGUUAUACGGGACGAGAGGACAUCUUGCGAAUAGUUAGAAGGAUUGACGGUAACCGAAUAGAAAGCCACGGCUAACUACGUG